rnacentral:lncRNA from 1 species
GGAGCACAGCCUGCAGAGGGUGGCAUUUGUUCUGGGUGACUUCAGCAGGGACGAGGGCUCUCGAGAGGGCCCCACUGCAGAGACCCAUCGUGUUCCAAGCUCUGCAGGAAAACUGAAGUCCACAGAUCAGCUUAACUGAGAAAGUAACGAGCAGCAACCUGAUCCUAAAAUAAAGAAACAGGCUGAGAGAAUUCAAAGAAUACUUAAAUUAUCCACCUUAAAAAAAAGCAACAAAACUGGGCUCAUGCCUAUAAUAUGGGCCGGUAUGAGGGCGCUUCUACCCCCUCUUCCAGGAAAUAAUAUGCUUCUCUGUCUUGAGGGUCCACAC